GCCGGCCUAGCUCAAUUGGUAGAGCAACUGACUUGUAAUCAGUAGGUUGGGGGUUCAAGUCCUCUGGCCGACACCA
rnacentral:tRNA from 1 species